GACAGAGGCCCCAAGCGUUAGGCGGAAUCACUGGGCUUAAAGCGUGUGUAGGCGGAUGCCUAAGUACCUCGGUGAAAUCCCACGGCUCACCCGUGGGAACUGCUGGGGUAUACUGGGCAUCUUGGGCCGUUCAGGGGCAACUGGAACAAGCGGUGGAGCGGUGAAAUGCGUAGAUAUCGCUUGGAACGCCGAAGGUGAAAACAGGUUGCUGGGAACGCGCCGACGCUGGAGGCGCGAAAGCUAGGGGAGCAAACAGG
rnacentral:rRNA from 1 species